rnacentral:rRNA from 1 species
AUUGAACGCUGGCGGCAUGCCUUACACAUGCAAGUCGAACGGCAGCACGGGUGCUUGCACCUGGUGGCGAGUGGCGAACGGGUGAGUAAUACAUCGGAACAUGUCCUGUAGUGGGGGAUAGCCCGGCGAAAGCCGGAUUAAUACCGCAUACGAUCUACGGAUGAAAGCGGGGGACCUUCGGGCCUCGCGCUAUAGGGUUGGCCGAUAGCUGAUUAGCUAGUUGGUGGGGUAAAGGCCUACCAAGGCGACGAUCAGUAGCUGGUCUGAGAGGACGACCAGCGGCAGGGGGGGGGGAAGAGGGACAGGAGGCAGACGGGAGGCACAGGUGGGGAGGGUGGGACAAUGGGCGAGAGUUGGGACAAAGAAGGGCGCGCGGGAGAAGAAGGCGUUCGGGUUGGAAAGCAGGUGUGUGCGGAAAGAAAACGUUGGCUCUAAUACAGUCGGGGGAUGAAGGGACCGGAAGAAGAAGCACCGGAUAACUACGGG